rnacentral:rRNA from 1 species
CCUACGGGUGGCAGCAGUGGGGGAUAUUGCACAAUGGGCGGAACCCUGAUGCAGCGACGCCGCGUGGGUGAAGGAGCGUUUCGGCGCGUAAAGCCCUAUUGGUAGGGAAGAAGAUGACGGUACCUGACCAAGAAGCCCCGGCUAAAUACGUGCCAGCAGCCGCGGUAAUACGUAGGGGGCACGCGUGAUCCGGAUUUACUGGGGGUAAAGGGGGCGCAGAGGGGAAUGCAAGCCCGGCGUGAAAGGCCGGGGCCCAACCCCGGGACUGCUGUUGAAACUGCAUGGCUGGAGUACAGGAGGGGCAGGCGGAAUUCCUGGUGUAGCGGUGAAAUGCGUAGAUAUUAGGAGGAACACCGGUGGCGAAGGCGGCCUGCUGGCCUGUGACUGACGUUGAGGCACGAAGGCGUGGGGAGCAAACAGGAUUAGAUACCCGGGUAGUC